UACCUACGGGAGGCAGCAGUGAGGAAUAUUGGUCAAUGGACGAGAGUCUGAACCAGCCAAGUAGCGUGAAGGAUGACUGCCCUAUGGGUUGUAAACUUCUUUUAUAUGGGAAUAAAAUGCUCCACGUGUGGGAUUUUGUAUGUACCAUAUGAAUAAGGAUCGGCUAACUCCGUGCCAGCAGCCGCGGUAAUACGGAGGAUCCGAGCGUUAUCCGGAUUUAUUGGGUUUAAAGGGAGUGUAGGUGGAUUGUUAAGUCAGUUGUGAAAGUUUGCGGCUCAAAGGUAAAAUUGAAGUUGAAAUUGGAA
rnacentral:rRNA from 1 species